GAUGAACGCUGGCGGCGUGCCUAAUACAUGCAAGUCGAGCGAACAGACGAGGAGCUUGCUCCUCUGACGUUAGCGGCGGACGGGUGAGUAACACGUGGAUAACCUACCUAUAAGACUGGGAUAACUUCGGGAAACCGGAGCUAAUACCGGAUAAUAUAUUGAACCGCAUGGUUCAAUAGUGAAAGACGGUUUUGCUGUCACUUAUAGAUGGAUCCGCGCCGCAUUAGCUAGUUGGUAAGGUAACGGCUUACCAAGGCGACGAUGCGUAGCCGACCUGAGAGGGUGAUCGGCCACACUGGAACUGCGACACGGUCCAGACUCCUACGGGAGGCAGCCGUAGGGAAUCUUCCGCAAUGGGCGAAAGCCUGACGGAGCAACGCCGCGUGAGUGAUGAAGGUCUUCGGAUCGUAAAACUCUGUUAUUAGUGAAGAACAAAUGUGUAAGUAACUAUGCACGUCUUGACGGUACCUAAUCAGAAAGCCACGUCUAACUACGUG
rnacentral:rRNA from 1 species